UACGAAGGGGGCUAGCGUUGCUCGGAAUCACUGGGCGUAAAGCGCACGUAGGCGGAUUGCUAAGUCAGGGGUGAAAUCCUGGAGCUCAACUCCAGAACUGCCUUUGAUACUGGCGAUCUUGAGUCCGGGAGAGGUGAGUGGAACAGCUAGUGUAGAGGUGAAAUUCGUAGAUAUUAGCUAGAACACCAGUGGCGAAGGCGGCUCACUGGACCGGAACUGACGCUGAUGCGCGAAAGCGUGGGGAGCAAACGGG
rnacentral:rRNA from 1 species